UACGGAGGGUGCAAGCGUUGUUCGGAAUUAUUGGGCGUAAAGCGCGCGCAGGCGGCCUGGAAAGUCUAUGGGUGAAAUGCCGGGGCUCAACCCCGUGCAUGCCCAGGAUACUGCCAGGCUGGAGACACGUAGAGGCAGGCGGAAUUUCGGGUGUAGCGGUGGAAUGCGUAGAUAUCCGAAAGAACACCAGUGGCGAAGGCGGCCUGCCGGGCGUGAUCUGACGCUGAGGCGCGAAAGCGUGGGGAGCAAACAGG
rnacentral:rRNA from 1 species